AAGUCAUGCGUAGUACGGCGAGUGAGCGGCAACAGCUCAAAUUUGAAAUCUGGCUCUCGGGCCCGAGUUGUAAUUUGUAGAGGAUACUUUUGAUGCGGUGCCUUCCGAGUUCCCUGGAACGGGACGCCAUAGAGGGUGAGAGCCCCGUCUGGUUGGAUGCCAAAUCUCUGUAAAGUUCCUUCAACGAGUCGAGUAGUUUGGGAAUGCUGCUCUAAAUGGGAGGUAUAUGUCUUCUAAAGCUAAAUACCGGCCAGAGACCGAUAGCGCACAAGUAGAGUGAUCGAAAGAUGAAAAGCACUUUGAAAAGAGAGUUAAAAAGUACGUGAAAUUGUUGAAAGGGAAGCGUUUAUGACCAGACUUGGGCUUGGUUAAUCAUCUGGGGUUCUCCCCAGUGCACUUUUCCAGUCCAGGCCAGCAUCAGUUUUCCCCGGGGGAUAAAGACGGCGGGAAUGUGGCUCUCUUCGGGGAGUGUUAUAGCCCACCGUGUAAUACCCUGGGGGGGACUGAGGUUCGCGCAUCUGCAAGGAUGCUGGCGUAAUGGUCAUCAACGACCCGUCUUGAAACACGGACCCAAAAA
rnacentral:rRNA from 1 species